rnacentral:ncRNA from 1 species
GGCGGACAUGAUCGCGCUGGUGCCCCACGGGGCUGAAAAGGGAAUGCGGUGCGGAGGGUUCGCCCUCUUAUUCCGCGGCUGUCCCUGCAACUGUAAGCGGUGAGCGCGAUGCGUAUUGGUCCCACAUUCCUGCAAAGGGGCGGGAAGGGGACCGGCCACUGGACGCAUGUCCGGGAAGGCUGGCGCAUCGCUGCUAUGACCCGCGAGCCAGGAGACCUGCCAGCGCCCGGUCGCUCUU